rnacentral:lncRNA from 1 species
UCGCCCCGACUGGGUCCCAGAGAAGCUGGGAGGGGACCCCAGAGGAGAUCUUCAGAGGGGCUGGGCGGAGGCACACAAAGCCUUUCUCUCCUCCCUCCGGCCACGCCCCUUCUCUCCUCGGCCUCUUCUUCCUCCUCCUGGGCGGAGAAUUCUAGUCCUACUCGGUCACUGACCUGCCGGUCGCCCCCGCCUCCCAGAUCUGCACCAAGGGAGCAAGGGCUGGGAAGGUUUAACUCUCCAUGGCUUUUGGCAAAAGAUGUGGGACAGAUUGUUAGAACCAUUCACUACGUCCAUGCCUGAGACAAAGGUGAAAGGAUGCAGGAAUCUGUAGUACAUUGCACAGAGGUGGAGACCUGAGACAGAAACUUCUGAACUUCCAUCUGGAAAGAUCAAAUGCGUGAGCCUUCAGAGCUCCGCAGCAGACAGGCCCGAGCUGAAGAGAGAGGAGAGAGAGAUGCUGGCCUGACAGGUAGGUAAAACUGAGAUGCUGAAACCCAGGAUUCAUCAACCCAGGGAGGAAGUUCAUUUUCAGCCCUGUCAUGGAGGUUGGGAUUUUAUUCUGUGUCAGCUUUGGAAGGUUGCCAUGGAAACUGAUGCCAUUCAUGAUGUAGCAGGAUCAGAGCCACCCAAGAAUCAGGACAUUUUAGGAACCCCAAGAACAUAAAGUAGAACCAGAAACUGCAGGGAGCAUUGACCUCACGUCAGUCAGGCACAGCCUUAGUAGGUUAACUGGUUUAAUCUUCACAAGAGCCGAAUGGGGCAGGCAUUGCUAUUGGCAGCAGAAUAUAAAGAGCACAGAGUCAGUCCAGUGCCUUCACCAACAGAAACCAUGUCACUUUUCAGGUUCCCUGCUCCCAUUUUUUUUCUUUCCAUCUGGUUUUGGGGUUUUUUUGUUUUGUUUGUUGUUGUUAUUUUGCUUUUUUUUUUUUUAAAAGCGGUACAUAUAUACAUUUCUAUCUUUCAGGAAGUAAGCCUAGAAGAAUAUCAGUUCAGAUCACUGUGACAGAACAACAAAUGGUCAAAGUGGAAUUAUUGCUUUUCCAAAAUCUUGCUACUCCUCCAUCAACUACAGGGUCUACUACUUUCCUUCGGCUUGAAUCUGGGCAGGACUUAGUAACUGAACUGACACACAUCGCAAGCAACUUUAAAGCAAAGGGGACCUGGCUUUUGCCUGGCUUACUAAUUAUCUUGGGACUUGGUUCUUAGGAUAUGUGAUCUUCUGGCCACCAUGUUGUAGGGGAAACUAUGUGGUCCUGGUUCUAAGUGACAGCCCACCGGUUUGUAAAUGAGGCUCUGUGAGGCUGACCCACCUGUUUGCCUCGCUACCAUGAGGCUAUAUUCUGCUCCAUCAUAGGUAUUCUGUUAGCAUCAGAAGGGGGCUGGCAAUGAUGCAAAUGAUAAAUUCGUCGUUUCAGUUGGCUUUGCUCAUCAGAAUUGCGGUACUGUGUUUUUUUACCUCUUAUGUGAAUGUGUGUGCAUAAGUGUCACUUGCAGCUAUCCGCAAACUAAGAAUAAACCUUGCCUUUACGUCCUUCAGAAUAGGCAAUGCUUAUCUCUAUACGUAGAAUCUAUAAGAACCCAGAGAUAAUGGAAGUGACUGAAAAAUCAGAAUAUGGGAGUUAUUUACAUUACAAAACAUGGAAAAAUUGGUCUAAAAUGGUAGUUAACUUUAAUUAUUUAAUUGUAUUUUGCAUUAGCUAGACUAUUAAUUAAUUUAUCUUGCUGCUUAACAACCUACCCCAAACUCUGGAGAGAUGGCUCACCAAUUAAGAUCACUGUCUGACUAUUCUUCCAGAAGACUGAAGUUCAAUUUCCAAUACCCACAUUGCAGCUAACAACCAUCUUUAACUCCACUCCUGGGCAUCUGGUGCUCCCUUCUGGGCACUGUACACACAUGGUACAUGGUCAUACAUGCAGGCAAAAUACAAAUAAAAAUCCCCUACUCCUACACUUAGGAAAGAUUGAAUAUCUCUUCUAGAAAUGCUUAGAAUCCGCAGUUUAGAAUCAUUAAUGUUUCAGACUUUAGAGUUCUGUUUUGGUUUUGGUUUUGGUUUUGGUUUUGGGUUUUUUCUUCAUAUUUUCAAAUACUUGUAUUGGUUUUACUGGUUGGGCUCCCUAACAUGAAAGUUGAAGCACUCCAAAAAUGCUUUGAAUUUUCACAGUAGGGAUGUUGAGUUUGUAGCUUAGUCAUCUUAGCACAUAAUUCUGUAGGCUGACCGUUUGAGCUGGGACCAGCUGGUGGACUUCGUGUGGUCCUGCUGCAUUUUUGCAUUGUUAUCCUCCGCCAGGCGUCUGGGGGAAGAUGGCAUCAACGGGGUGGCUGCCCUUGGUUCUGCGUGUCUCCAUUCUCCAGUCUGAGCUUAUGGACGGCUUGACGGAGUGUAGAGAGUAGGGCUUGAAAAUAAGAGUACGGCUUUCCCACAUCCUGCUGGGCAAAGCAAACAGCAGGACAGGCCAGAUUCAAGAGGUCAGAAAGGUUCAGCCCUUGACAGGAUGGGGAGCUCCUAUGCAACCUAGCAAAGGGAGUCUGCGAGGACACAAGGUUGUAAAUAAGAGCACAUCCUCGAAAUCUGCAGUACCACAGAAAAUGUCAAUAAUCUACUGAGGGAACUAGCAAUGUUACAAAGAGAGAUGCUGGAGAGGAUGCUGUUUGUGUGGUUUAUAACACAUGACAAAAAUCUAAUGGGAUGCUGAAAUGGUCCUAGAGUAGAAAAGCCAUACACAGUCCCUCUUAUCCAUCACACUGUCUUAAAAAGCAGAAUUAAGAUGCUUAGCAGAGCACAGUUGGGCGACAGGUUCCCCCCUGUGUUCUUUUACCUUCUUAUUGAUGGGGAUGGGAAUACUGACAUCAAUGAGGGUUUGGCAGGCAGAAGGGAAAUUAUCUGCGGGGCCUCUUCACUGACCCUGAGAGACUUACUCAACAGUGCAGCAGGAGCCUGCUGACUCACACUGGGUAAAGUUGACUUAAAAAGACCCCAUCUGGCCUGGUAGUGGUGGUGCACGCCUUUAAUCCCAGCACUUGGGAGGCAGAGGCAGGUGGAUUUCUGAGUUUGAGGCUAGCCUGGUCUACAGAGUGAGUUCCAGGACAGCCAGGGUUACACAGAGAAACCCUGUCUCGGAAAACCAAAACCAAAAAACAACAACAACAAAAAGACCUCAUCUGGAUCAGUCCUCUUCCUAUUUCAAGUGUACAGACAUUGUUUUCAAUUCUCUACCAGUGGUCAACAGUUUAGUUAUCUGGAGUCUUGUUUUGCUCCAAGCCCCUGUGAUUUUUGUCCUACACCUGUGUUCUGUUCGGUAGCCAUCACUUCAGAGAAAAUUGUACAGAACCAAAUAGGAAUGGCAGGCUAUUUAUGGGGUAGUAAGGGAAUAGAAUUCAUGGGACACCCGUAAGUAUAAACUGUGUUAAAGAUGAAUGUGAGUUUAAGCCACCAAAUCUGCCAACUAAAACAAAAUCCUUGAUCCCCGUGAGUUCGUCAUGCCUGCCCAAUGAAUGAACACAUUUCAGUCUUUUGCCAUCAGAAUAUAGACACCACUUGCUGGAGCUAUGCAGACUGAUGGAGAAAACUUGGCUAGAGCUUAGAGGACCUGACAGCCAUCAAACCAGGCUUCCUCCCAAGGUCAGGGCAUGUGACCUCAGACCCAGCCUGGUAGCUGGAGCAGCAUCCUCCAAACCCAGCUCUUGCUUGUCCAGCAGCAGUGAAGUUGCAAAAGGGAGCUUCCAAAAGUGGAAACAUUUUCAAAUAAGUCUUUUAACUUUUCGCCUGUGGAUACAGCUGCGUUGACACAAAGCCACGUUUGAGGCAUGAUGUCUCAGAAGCCUGGCACCGCGGAGUGUUUUUCUACUGGGACCCAUAAUUGUUGGCUUUUAAGAGUGGUCCUGUGUUCGGUUUUAUCAAUGUGGUACUUGAACUGGACUUUCAGCUGACCUCCAAAAGGAAAUAGUUUUAAAAGGAAGAAUUUUAAGUCUGCCAAAAGCCAGAUAAUGGCACAGCACAGAAAAAAAGCCAGCGUUCUGUGGUUUUUAUAUUAAAAUACGAGUCUCUUAAUGCCUCAAAACAGCGGCCAGAAAAUGCGAAGUUUAAUACAUGAGGCUCUAAGAAGCCGUUUUAAUGAGCUUUAGUUUUCGCUUUGUUCUUUGUGAUUCCCCCAGAAGGGGCAAGCAUCUUCCUCCUGGUCCUCCUCCGCCAUCUAUUUUUGCUUUUAUACAAAUGGCUGUUUUCAUUAAAGCAAUUUCAAAAUAUACUGAAAACAGCCAUGCCCAACUCCAGGCCUCGUACUUUGAGGAGUUUUCAGCUGCAGGCUCUGCAAAAUAUCUUGAGGAGCAAAGCCACCAGUAUCCGGCUCGUCCAGCAUCGUGAGUUACUGGUCCCAUGAAGACUCCUCACUUCCCCUUGCUUUAGCUGAGCCACAUUCCUGCACUUUGGUUUUGCUAGGUGACGGUGUUUUCACCUUUUCAUGAGGGGCCAUGUGAGAAGCCAACACCUAUAGACAAGGUGCCGCGAUUAGAUUGGGCUACUUAGCAUUUCCACUUCCUCACUAGGUACUUUGAAAUAUCCCAGCCUGAAAGUGGAAUCUGUGGUGGAGCAUGUGCUUAGCAUGCACAGAACUCUGGCUGCAAGAGCUAGUACAAGAAAGGAAAGAAGGGGAGGGGGCGCGGUUUCCCAUAGCCCUAGGGAACAUUGAAAUAAACUCUGCCUUUGUGACUAUGUU